GAAGACUCUGAGCUUUUUGUGCAUUCUUCUAUUUUUAUGCAGCGAGGUUUUCGGAAAGUUGAUCCAAGCUCCUUUAGGAGAUGACGUUGAGUUUCUGCUGUCAGAGGAGUGCCUGAAGGGACGGGGGAGACUGAAUCUGCGAAGGAAAGAUGCCAGUACGCAGCUGAUCGCCUCCCUGGAAAACGUCUGGAAACCCGGACCACAACAUCCACACCGCGUGAAUCAAAGAGGGCUCUCUCUCAUCCUGGACAACGCAGAUCUGAACGACGAAGGGCUGUACGAGUUUACAUGCAACGACAAAGACUUGGAAGCGAUCAAGCUGGAAGUAUUUGUCCCCUCUGAAGUUGAUGUAUCCGAGGGCGAGGAUGCCACACUCCAGUGCCGCUCCGUCACCGCGGGUCAGUCGGUGAAAUCUGCGCGCUGGAGGAGAAAUGGAAACGCGGUGCUUCAGCUGGAUGGAACAGGAGGAAUCACAUACGGGGAAGACGUUAACACAAGCCGGGUGUCGAUACCACCAGAGUGGGACCGACAAGCAGACCUGUCCCUCACCAUAAAGAGAGUCCAGCAACAAGAUGAAGGAGUUUAUUACUGUGACAUAGACAAGUGGGAGAGACACCGCUCUGCUGUCCGCCUGCGAGUCCACCCUCAAGUCCCCACAGCAGCCGGUAGCACACCUCUGCCCACAACCACACCGACGCCAUCAGAGUCCUCUGAUAGGACAUGGAUCACAGUGAUCACAGUCCUUGUAACAGCAGCUGUAACAUCUGGGAUCGUUGGUCCUCUGACUUUCCUCUUGGGCCGGAAACGGAGGAGAGAAACAAGAGAUGAAGAGACCGGAGCCCAACAAAACGGACGCCAUACCACCAAUAAUGAUCAGUCAUCAGGAGAUCAGCACGUCUCUACAAAUGGCUUUAAAAGGCCACCUGGUGCUCCAGAGGAAAUUACCCUACUGCCCAUUAAUAAUAAUAAUAAUAACAAUAAUAAUAAUAAUAAUAAUAAAGAAUAACGAAUGAAAUAAACAUAAUUUUUUAAAUAAA
ensembl:lncRNA